rnacentral:rRNA from 1 species
AGCGUAGGUGGUUUCUUAAGUCAGAGGUGAAAGGCUACGGCUCAACCGUAGUAAGCCUUUGAAACUGAGAAACUUGAGUGCAGGAGAGGAGAGUAGAAUUCCUAGUGUAGCGGUGAAAUGCGUAGAUAUUAGGAGGAAUACCAGUUGCGAAGGCGGCUCUCUGGACUGUAACUGACACUGAGGAGCGAAAGCGUGGGGAGCGAACA